UGGGGAAUUUUGGACAAUGGGCGAAAGCCUGAUCCAGCAAUGCCGCGUGUGUGAAGAAGGCCUUCGGGUUGUAAAGCACUUUUGUCCGGAAAGAAAUCCUUGGCUCUAAUACAGUCGGGGGAUGACGGUACCGGAAGAAUAAGCACCGGCUAACUACGUGCCAGCAGCCGCGGUAAUACGUAGGGUGCAAGCGUUAAUCGGAAUUACUGGGCGUAAAGCGUGCGCAGGCGGUUUUGUAAGACGGAUGUGAAAUCCCCGGGCUUAACCUGGGAACUGCAUUCGUGACUGCAAGGCUAGAGUAUGGCAGAGGGGGGUAGAAUUCCACGUGUAGCAGUGAAAUGCGUAGAGAUGUGGAGGAAUACCGAUGGCGAAGGCAGCCCCCUGGGCCAAUACUGACGCUCAUGCACGAAAGCGUGGGGAGCAAACAGGAUUAGAUACCCUGGUAGUCCACGCCCUAAACGAUGUCAACUAGUUGUUGGGGAUUCAUUUCCUUAGUAACGUAGCUAACGCGUGAAGUUGACCGCCUGGGGAGUACGGUCGCAAGAUUAAAACUCAAAGGAAUUGACGGGGUCAUAGCUGUUUCCU
rnacentral:rRNA from 1 species